rnacentral:sRNA from 1 species
UUGACAAUCUUAUCGUGAAGGCAUACUUUCAGGGGUGAGGGUAGAGCGGGGUUUCCCCCGCCCUGGUAGUCUUAGUAAGCUGGCCAGCUAAUGACUAAGAGCACCACGAUGAUGAGUACGAAAGCCAUCAUGACCCUUUCCUUACU